AAAGCAUCUUGGUGGCUAAAUGAAGCCCCAAGAAAUUGAACCUAGCUACAAACAUAUCGCCUAAACAUCGAACUCCAGGAACUCAGAUUUUGACCAUAACAAUACUUGUGCGAUACUUGAUUAAUUAUAAAAUACACACGUGCAUACUUAAAAUCAAACCUGUGCAUACUUAAAAUUGAAGCUGUGCAGUAGUUUAGUUAAGCUUACAAGAUUAAAACAAGUCUGAGUAGUCAAAAACAAGUCUGGUAGUCAAAAACAAGUCUGAACAGUCGGUAAUCACAGCAUUGGUACUUCAGUUGCCAUUUCCAGUGCCUUCUGGACUACAUCCAGCAGAGCAUUCAAAACUGUAGGUAGUUGCCCGAGGCGUUCCAACUUUCCCUUUCCUAUAUGUGGGAGCUUAUAAUUAUUAUUUCCAUCUUUCCUUAGUAUCUCUGUCAUACACCCCAUAAGUGAUAGCCAUACAUGAUUCAAAGUAGAAUCACUAACUUCUUCGUACGCUUCAAGCACUGCACCAACCAACUCACACACUGUCGUAGGCGCCUUUUCAUGUUGUAACCCUUGAAUAACUCUAAAGAAGCCUAAAUCAUUAAUAUUGAGGUCCGGACUAUUAGCCGGCUGAUUAGCUAACGUAAUAUUAAAUCCAUCAGAUUUUGCAACCUCAAUGAAAUCCAAGUCUGUGUUGCAUAUAUGAGGCCUUGCGUUAUCUUGUUGGAUAACAAUAGGUCUAUUGCAGUCCAGUGGCCACUUAGCUUUAAUAGCUGGGAUGAUUUUUUCCAAUAGACAUUGUUUUAUCACAACUUUAGUGAUACUUUCAAUAGGUUUAACUUCAAUAACACCUCUAGCUCUAUUUUUAAUUGAUCUAGCUGCUGGUUCAUCAAAAGUGAAGGGAAAUAUACCUAUUUUCCCAUCAAAAGUACAAUUACCAUCAGCAUCAUACCUAGGCCUUGCAACAGCGCUCAUAAACAUUAUUUUUGUUAUAAAUCUCUUCGACUUGCACCUUCUAUGUGGCUCUUGUUCAUCCGGCAAAAGGGGCUUGAAUUAAAGUAUCAAGAAAAGCACCUCUUGGAUCUUCUCCUACAUUUGGAAAUGUGAAAGCUGCCAUUUUUAACUAUGUCUAUUUUUAGUAGUUUUCUGUAUAAAGUUGUAAAAGUGAUGUGUAUGCCUUUUUAAUACUGUACUUUUGGUUGGUGGCAAAUAUUGGAGGCAAGCUUUUGUAAUUAGGCGGGACUAUGUAAUUAGUUUCCCUCCAGUGGUAAUCACAUGUACUUACUGCACCUUUUGUAAUUAA